rnacentral:rRNA from 1 species
CAUGCAAGUCGAGCGCAGGAAACCAGAUGACCCCUUCGGGGUGAUUCUGGUGGAAUGAGCGGCGGACGGGUGAGUAACACGUGGGCAACCUGCCUGUAAGACUGGGAUAACUUCGGGAAACCGGAGCUAAUACCGGAUAGUAUUUCCUUUCUCCUGAUUGGAAAUGGAAAGACGGUUUCGGCUGUCACUUACAGAUGGGCCCGCGGUGCAUUAGCUAGUUGGUGGGGUAAUGGCCCACCAAGGCGACGAUGCAUAGCCGACCUGAGAGGGUGAUCGGCCACACUGGGACUGAGACACGGCCCAGACUCCUACGGGAGGCAGCAGUAGGGAAUCUUCCGCAAUGGACGAAAGUCUGACGGAGCAACGCCGCGUGAGCGAUGAAGGCCUUCGGGUCGUAAAGCUCUGUUGUUAGGGAAGAACAAGUACGAGAGUAACUGCUCGUACCUUGACGGUACCUAACCAGAAAGCCCCGGCUAACUACGUGCCAGCAGCCGCGGUAAUACGUAGGGGGCAAGCGUUGUCCGGAAUUAUUGGGCGUAAAGGGCUCGUAGGCGGUUUCUUAAGUCUGAUGUGAAAGCCCACAGCUCAACUGUGGAGGGUCAUUGGAAACUGGGGAACUUGAGUGCAGAAGAGGAGAGUGGAAUUCCACGUGUAGCGGUGAAAUGCGUAGAUAUGUGGAGGAACACCAGUGGCGAAGGCGACUCUCUGGUCUGUAACUGACGCUGAGGAGCGAAAGCGUGGGGAGCAAACAGGAUUAGAUACCCUGGUAGUCCACGCCGUAAACGAUGAGUGCUAGGUGUUAGGGGGUUUCCGCCCCUUAGUGCUGAAGUUAACGCAUUAAGCA